UAGUAUAACAAAAUCAUGUGAUUGUGAUAUUCUCGAAACCAAAAAAAUUUCAAAUAAGCUACCGUGACAGUGAAGAAACUGAUGUAGGGCCAAAACAUGGUGUCUCUGUUCAACGUUAGAUAUUAGAAACUCCCGAAGAACAAUGACUUCUCCAAUGCUCAAACUUUUGAUAACUAUGCUUCUUUGCAACCCUGUCAUUUCAAGCAUCAGGACACCAGACACCAGACGAUGAGUUGCAAAGGGCCAUGGAUUGGGCUUGUAAUGUUGGUGGAGCAGAUUGCAGCAAGAUAAAACCGGACCAACCAUGUUAUCUUCCAAAUACAAUCAAGGAUCAUGCUUCUUAUAUCUUCAACAAUUACUAUUAGAAGUUUAAGAACAAAGGAGGAUCUUGUUAUUUCAACUCUGCUGCAUUAAUCAAUGCUCUUGAUCCAAGCCAUGGCUCUUGCAAGUUUGAGUUUAUCCCUUGAAUGAAGUUUGGAGUAAAUUGUUUUCUCAAAGUGAAGACAGUAACAAAGUCAGUGAAAUAUUCGGCAAGUGUCUUAUAAAUUAAUGUUGUAUCAUAUCUUGAUAUUUAAACAUAUCAUGUCAAAGAGACAUUGAAUUCUUAUUUUUCUGCAACUUAAAUUA